UCUUCGGAUGCUGACGAGUGGCGAACGGGUGAGUAAUACAUCGGAACGUGCCUAGUAGUGGGGGAUAACUACUCGAAAGAGUAGCUAAUACCGCAUGAGAUCUACGGAUGAAAGCAGGGGACCUUCGGGCCUUGUGCUACUAGAGCGGCUGAUGGCAGAUUAGGUAGUUGGUGGGGUAAAGGCUUACCAAGCCUGCGAUCUGUAGCUGGUCUGAGAGGACGACCAGCCACACUGGGACUGAGACACGGCCCAGACUCCUACGGGAGGCAGCAGUGGGGAAUUUUGGACAAUGGGCGAAAGCCUGAUCCAGCAAUGCCGCGUGCAGGAUGAAGGCCCUCGGGUUGUAAACUGCUUUUGUACGGAACGAAAAGCCUGGGGCUAAUAUCCCCGGGUCAUGACGGUACCGUAAGAAUAAGCACCGGCUAACUACGUGCCAGCAGCCGCGGUAAUACGUAGGGUGCAAGCGUUAAUCGGAAUUACUGGGCGUAAAGCGUGCGCAGGCGGUUUUGUAAGACAGUGGUGAAAUCCCCGGGCUCAACCUGGGAACUGCCAUUGUGACUGCAAGGCUAG
rnacentral:rRNA from 1 species